UGAUACCAUUCUGGAGUGUGUACGACUUUUUAUUUAAGUUUUUUGUGGCAAAUGAAGCGACCCUCAAUGCGAAUCGGCCAUUUUGACGUUUUCCGUUUGGGGAAAAUAUAUUUAUAUUUUUAUAGUGUGGGCAUUUUCACACGUGGCGAUAGCCUUGAGGUGCAUUUUUUUCAAUUUUUUAUUGAAGGUAAAUAGGUAAUUGGAAUUUUUAUACUU